GAUGAACGCUGGCGGCGUGCUUAACACAUGCAAGUCGAACGAUGAAGCCCAGCUUGCUGGGUGGAUUAGUGGCGAACGGGUGAGUAACACGUGAGUAACCUGCCCUUAACUAUGGGAUAAGCAUGGGAAACUGGGUCUAAUACCGGAUAGGAGCGUCCACCGAAUGGAGGGUGUUGGAAUGAUUGAUCGGUUUUGGAUGGACUAGCGGCCUAUCAGCUUGUUGGUGAGGGAAUGGCACACCAAGGCCACGGCGGGUAGCCGGCCCGGGAGGGAGAACGGCCACACUGGGACUGAGACACGGCCCAGACUCCUACGUGAGGCAGCAGUGGGGAAUAUUGCACAAUGGGCGCAAGCCUGAUGCAGCGGCGCCGCGUUCGUGAUGACGUCCUUCGGGUUGUAAACCUCUUUCUGUAUGGAAGAAGCGAUAGUGACGGUACCUGCAGAAGAAGCACCGGCUAACUACGUG
rnacentral:rRNA from 1 species